rnacentral:rRNA from 1 species
AUGAGUGUUUUCAAAUUCCCGAAAACAAUUUGCAAGGGGAUCACUGAUGCCAUUUCACACUACUGGUGGGGUGACGGGGAAAACCAACGUAAGAUGCAUUUGUUCACUUGGUGGAGGUUGUGCAUCCCCAAGGAAAGAGGGGGCAUGGGCUUUUGCGACAUUCAUAGCUUUAACUUGGCGCUCCUAGCAAAACAGGUCUGGAGACUUAUUGAGCAUCAUGAGUCAUUGUGCGCAAGGGUGCUCCGAUCUAAAUACUAUCCAACGGGAGAAUUGCUCAAUUGUGGACUGAAGAAGGGGGCCUCCUUUGUAUGGCAGAGCAUAUGGGCGGGAGCUCACACAUUUAAGAAAGGAUGUAUUUGGAGGAUUGGCAAUUGCUUAAAGUUAAAUAUAUGGGAGGACUGCUGGAUUCCUAAUAGUUCCUCCAGGAAAAUUGUGACGCCUCGAGGAAAUAGAGUCCUUACUCGUGUCAAUGAACUUAUUAACCCAGCGUCCGGGAGUGGGACGAACAGCUCAUCAGAGAUAACUUCUGGCCCAUUGACGCUGAUCGAAUAUUACAGAAUCCUUUGCGCCAGGGAGAUACAGAAAACUAUGUGGCAUGGCACUUGA